rnacentral:rRNA from 1 species
UACGUAGGGGGCAAGCGUUGUCCGGAUUUAUUGGGCGUAAAGAGCGUGUAGGCGGCUUUACAGGUCCGUUGUGAAAACUCGAGGCUCAACCUCGAGACGCCGGUGGAAACCGUAAAGCUAGAGUCCGGAAGAGGAGAGUGGAAUUCCUGGUGUAGCGGUGAAAUGCGCAGAUAUCAGGAGGAACACCAAUUGCGAAGGCAGCUCGCUGGGACGUUACUGACGCUGAGACGCGAAAGCGUGGGAGCAAACAGG